rnacentral:rRNA from 1 species
GGAGUGCUUGCACUCUGUGAAACAAGAUACAGGCUAGCGGCGGACGGGUGAGUAACACGUGGGUAACCUGCCCAAGAGAUCGGGAUAACACCUGGAAACAGAUGCUAAUACCUGAUAACAACAGAUGAUGCCUAUCAACUGUUUAAAAGAUGGUUCUGCUAUCACUCUUGGAUGGACCUGCGGUGCAUUAGCUAGUUGGUAGGGUAACGGCCUACCAAGGCGAUGAUGCAUAGCCGAGUUGAGAGACUGAUCGGCCACAUUGGGACUGAGACACGGCCCAAACUCCUACGGGAGGCAGCAGUAGGGAAUCUUCCACAAUGGACGCAAGUCUGAUGGAGCAACGCCGCGUGAGUGAAGAAGGGUUUCGGCUCGUAAAGCUCUGUUGUUGGUGAAGAA